UCCGACCUCAGAUCGGACGAGAUUACCCGCUGAAUUUAAGCAUAUAACUAAGCGGAGGAAAAGAAACUAACAAGGAUUUCCCCAGUAACGGCGAGUGAAGCGGGAAUAGCCCAGCACCGAAUCCCUCAGUGUCACGCUGACGGGAACUGUGGUGUGUGGGACGCCACCAGUCGCGUCGGAGGGCACCGAAGUCCUCCUGAUCGGGGCUUCACCCAGAGCGGGUGUAAGGCCUUUGCAGGUGCCUCUCUGCGCGGCCGCGAGCGUCUCAGGAGUCGGGUUGUUUGGGAAUGCAGCCCAAAGC
rnacentral:rRNA from 1 species